rnacentral:rRNA from 1 species
GUAGGUGGCAAGCGUUGUCCGGAAUUAUUGGGCGUAAAGCGCGCGCAGGCGGUUCUUUAAGUCUGAUGUGAAAGCCCACGGCUCAACCGUGGAGGGUCAUUGGAAACUGGAGAACUUGAGUACAGAAGAGGAAAGCGGAAUUCCACGUGUAGCGGUGAAAUGCGUAGAGAUGUGGAGGAACACCAGUGGCGAAGGCGGCUUUCUGGUCUGUAACUGACGCUGAGGCGCGAAAGCGUGGGGAGCAAACAGGAUUAGAUACCCUGGUAGUCCACGCCGUAAACCGAUGAGUGCUAAGUGUUAGGGGGGUUUUCCGCCCCCCUUAGUGCUGCAGCUAACGCAUUAAGCACUCCGCCUGGGAGUACGGCCGCAAGGCUG